rnacentral:rRNA from 1 species
GGGUGAGUAACACGUAGGUAACCUGCCCCGGAGCGGGGGAUAACAUUUGGAAACAGAUGCUAAUACCGCAUAACAACAAAAGCCACAUGGCUUUUGUUUGAAAGAUGGCUUUGGCUAUCACUCUGGGAUGGACCUGCGGUGCAUUAGCUAGUUGGUAAGGUAACGGCUUACCAAGGCGAUGAUGCAUAGCCGAGUUGAGAGACUGAUCGGCCACAAUGGAACUGAGACACGGUCCAUACUCCUACGGGAGGCAGCAGUAGGGAAUCUUCCACAAUGGGCGCAAGCCUGAUGGAGCAACACCGCGUGAGUGAAGAAGGGUUUCGGCUCGUAAAGCUCUGUUGUUGGAGAAGAACGUGCGUGAGAGUAACUGUUCACGCAGUGACGGUAUCCAACCAGAAAGUCACGGCUAACUACGUGCCAGCAGCCGCGGUAAUACGUAGGUGGCAAGCGUUAUCCGGAUUUAUUGGGCGUAAAGCGAGCGCAGGCGGUUGCUUAGGUCUGAUGUGAAAGCCUUCGGCUUAACCGAAGAAGUGCAUCGGAAACCGGGCGACUUGAGUGCAGAAGAGGACAGUGGAACUCCAUGUGUAGCGGUGGAAUGCGUAGAUAUAUGGAAGAACACCAGUGGCGAAGGCGGCUGUCUGGUCUGCAACUGACGCUGAGGCUCGAAAGCAUGGGUAGCGAACAGGAUUAGAUACCCUGGUAGUCCAUGCCGUAAACGAUGAGAGCUAGGUGUUGGAG